rnacentral:lncRNA from 1 species
CCCCAACCUUCCUACAUGUGAAUGGAAAUUGGGAAGUUAAUCUCAGGGCAUUUGUACCCCUAAAAAGCCUCCAAAAAAGGAGCACCCCUUUAUUUAUACUCUUCAGCUCAUUACUUUACCUGCACCAGAAUGAUAUAUAGAUUUCUUGAUUAUGUUCUAAACCGAAGAUGAGUUUUACUUUGUUUAAAAAUAUGUUUAAAUAUCAAGGUUGAAAGAUUGCUACGUUUGUAAAAACUUGUGACAAAUAUCCAUCAAUUCAUAGGCUUUUAAAAAUGCCAUACAGCAACUUAUGUGAAAUAUGAAAGUGUGUUUGUUUGCUAUUGUAAUUAGUUGGGCUAUUGAGAAUUCUGGGGAUAUUGAUACUACAUAUUUGUACUACUGUUCUUUAAAAAUGAAAAAUAUACCUUGCUCAAUUCAUUUGCCUUCUACUCAUAGUGAUCAUGGCCAGACAUGAAGAGGAAAUGGAUCUCAUUUUUGGACAAGAUAUACAUAACAGAACCAUUGCACAGAGCCAAAGAAAAGCCAAUCCAGGAUGGAUUGAUGCACUUCUAGGCCAAUACAAAGGUCUUGAACCUAGUGUGAAGACUCGAGAUUAUUGUGUUUAA